GCAUUGGUGGUUCAGUGGUAGAAUUCUUGCCUUCCACGCAGGAGGCCUGGUUUCGAUUCCUGGCCAAUGCA
rnacentral:tRNA from 1 species